CCCCAAGGAUCAGUUCCUUCCUCUUCUUCCUUCUGUAUCUGAGGGAGGAAGAGGAGGAAGAACAGAAAGCCGUAUUUUCCAGAAGUCAUAUCGAAUGGUGCUUCAGACCCUAGUCAUCAUGAAGUAUUUCUUCAGUUACAUCCGUAAAUCUGUUGUUGCAUAUGAUUCCAAACCUGUCAGAAGAUGAAGUAACAAGUCUCCAAUACUAUUCACCAAAAUAACAGAUAUGAAGAUUGAAUGACUUUGCAGAAUCAUCAUACUAAAGGAAUCAGACCCCCAGAACUAGUUGAUGGCAUAAUUGCCCAGAGAGGCUGUACAUCAAUCUGGAAGCCUUCUGGAUACUGCUGGACUACUCUUCUGCAUGGAAUUAGUCUUAGUUGUUCUAUGAACUUGUAAGUUUAUUAGCAUUACUUAGUUUUCCUUCGCUAUACCCACUUAGGACGCCAUUUUAAUCCUUUUUACAACAAGGGAAUUAAAGAAUUCUACAUGUUUUAGUUGUGUGAACCUUUUUAUUUCUAACAUUUUGUUUUCUGGUAGCGUUAAGCUGUAUAAAUUGAUUAGUCUUUAGUUUGGUCAAUGACUUGCAUAUAAGUUGACACGGUGGCCUCCCAGUUAGUGUGAACUUAACUAGCGUUAAGGCGGUGGUUCCCAGUAAGUGUGUUGAUCCCUCAGUUGUCAAUAAAGGUAAAAGAAAAAAAAAAAGUAGACAGAAAGC
rnacentral:lncRNA from 1 species